UUAAUUUGUUGAUGUGAUCUGUGUUUUGGUGGAGGAUGCACCGUACGUGCUUUUCUUUUUUUUUUUUUUGUAAGCACCUCACAAGCACUCCAGCAAGCAUCUAGCUGUCAUCCAAAAUGGAUGUUUAAGACUGAGAGCAGAGUGCUGUGGGGCACAGGACAAAGCUUUUCCCCCAGGUUGAUGAAAGGCCCACCCUUGGCUUCUGCUGGAAUGCUGUAACUCUUCUGGAAAGGAGAGCAGUGAAGAUCAAAGGCAAAAUAGUGCCAAAGAAUGAAAUUUAACAAAGAUUCCUCACCCUGCCUAAUUAUCACAUCACACUUUGAGUCAACAUGCAAGGCUGCUGGUGCCAGCUGUGAAAAAGGCAAUUAAUAACUUUCCACCAAGCGUAGCUUCAGACUCAAGAGGAGAAGGAAGCUGUGAAGAGCUAUGUACAAGUGGUAGACCCACUGUUUUCAUCCCUUGAUGAGAUGCUGGUGAAGCAUGUACAGCAGAAAGUGCCUUUGAGAGACUUUGAGAAACACGACAGAGUCUAGAUGGACGCCUCUGUCAUUCCUAAAAAGAUAGGGAUGGCAUUUCAAGAGGGCAAGAGAGACAAGAAAUCACAGCAUUAGAAGAAGGAGGCAGCAAGGGUUCUCCCUCCUGCAACAAUUCUUCAUCCACAGCAGCUUCUGGAAGUGCUGUUUUGUGUCUCCCCUCAGCUUCCCAGAACUGUCCUACAGUUCAGACUGUCCUUAGCACAACAGGGUUGAGGAGCCUGUCCCAAGAAAGGAUUCCUGAUGGGAUAUUUCCUGUUCACAUUACUGUCUUUCUCAUGAGAAUCCACUGUCAGACCCCAUGCCUCCUUGUGGUCUCUGACAGAUGGUGGCAUCCAACUGGACCCUGACUGAGCAAAGUAAGGAGGAGUCAGUGACAUGAGACGAUACUGGUGGUGCUGGAGUGUGAGGCACAAUCCACAGCCAACACUCAUGUUACAAGAACUGCAACAAGAAAAAAAAAUACUUGUGUGAUUGCUUGUGGCCACUCCAAAUAAAAACAAUCAAGAAUGCA
rnacentral:lncRNA from 1 species